CCCUAAAGAUAUUCUCUCUGUUUAAAGAAAUUCUGAGGGUAGUAGCCUAUGUGGCUAAUAACUUAACUCACUAUUUUAUGAAACAUUAUCUAAUCUGUUCCCUGUAUACAUUUGGGAUUAUUAGAUUUAUACCUCACAUCCCAAGUAUUUUUGUUGUCUGUUAUUAAGUAUUUGGGGGGGGCGGGGCAAUGGGGGUUAAGUGACUUGCCCAGGGUCACACAGCUAGUAAGUGUCAAGUGUCUGAGGCCGGAUUUGAACUCAGGUCCUCCUGAAUCCAGGGCUGGAGCUUUAUCCACUGCGCCACCUAGCCGCCCCUGUUAUUAAGCAUUUUAAAACAAAAUCAUUGGUAUAAUAUUGAAUUUAGGAAUAAAAAAGCAUCCACUUAGCAUAAGUACUAGUUAUAUCAAGAUAAGAUUUUUUUGUAAUGAAUUUCUUACUGUUACCAAAGAUUAUAGUCAAUAUUUAAUAAAUGAUAAAUGAAUUUAUCUAUGAUAUAUGAAUCUUCAGAGAUGAAUUCACCUGAAACAUUGAUUACUGGAACUUACUACUUAAGACAUCAUGGGACUGUUAACUGAUAUUGUUUUGACUCUGACUCCAGGUAUGAUCCUUGAGAACUGCUAUUGAGGCAAUGAAUCCAUGAUGCCAGCAACCAUAUGGGGUUGAAAUGCAUAAACUGCAGGUGGAGUUGUCAUGGGAAAGGCUGGGAGAAUGACUUUUUGCAAGGGCUGAGUAGGAUUCUCCUGACUUAAUUUCCCCAAUAUGACAUAUCCCACCUGGCUGAAUUUGGGCCUGGCUCAAUGCAAUUGGCCAUCUGCAUAACUUUUUUUUAAUUAUAAAAGUAUUUUAUCAUCUACAUAACUUUUGCCUAGAAUUAACAUGAAGUUAGGGAAGCAUUAUUCCCUUAAUGUAUAAUUAUGUCCCUAUUCUUUUAUGGCAAAUUUCUACAAUCAUGUCAAAUGUUAUGUGAUGAAUGCAAUAUUGGAUCCUUAUCUCUUAGGUAAAUACCGAAUCACAUCUGUGUUAAUUAAAUGAGAUGCAGGUAUAAUAUUUGAGCAAUUUGGCCUGAAGUUGUUUUUUUUUUAAUUUUUUUUGGUGAGGCAGUUGGGGUUAAGUGACUUUCCCAAGGGUCACACAGCUAGUAAGUGUCAAGUGUCUGAGGCCGGAUUUGAACUCAGGUCCUUCUGACUCCAGGGCCAGUGCUCUAUCCACUACGCCACCUAGUUGCCCCUGGCCUGAAGUUUUAAGCCUUUCUAUAUUCCAAAUAAUUAACAAUUAAGUAUUUAACCUUGACAUAUGGUCCUUUCAUUUUUCAUAAUAGUAUUGGGAUAAUUAGGCAAUUGAUGCAAAGAUUUUUGAAGCCAAGAUAUGAUUUUGUUAUUUAGUUAAUAUCACAAUUGUUUCAGUUCUGUGUUAAAGAAAGGAAUAUCAGCAUAGCUUCGUGUGGUCUGUUUUGCAAAUGCCUUAAAGGGACAUCCACUUGUAUUAGGGGUUAUUAAUUUGAACAUAACUAGAAGUUGUGUUUUACUAUGUUUUAGUAUGCAUGACUUACUUGGUAUGAACUUUUGUAAAAUUAAUCACUAAUUGUAUUUUUGUAUAUCAUCCCCGAAUCUUUUGUUACAAUUGAAGUUAAUCUGGCAACUUUUAUAUGAAUUCAUUUUGUAUUGGAUGCCAUCUUAUAAAAAGGAUUCUGGGAUUUCUUAAUGGAAUCUCAUACUCCUAAUAAGGGAUUGAAUAAUGCCAAGUAAAAAAAUUGGUUUCUAAUUUUCUGUUUCUAUCCGAGUUUUGUAUGUAACAACUAGACAAAAAAUUGUAAAAGCCUAUAGUCUAAAUAAAUUCAGUCUCUAAUGUUAGAGACUUAUGGUUUGAGCCACCUUUACUUAUCUGACCUGGUUAUUGGCAAAGUAAUUUAAAGUUGUGUUAAGAUCGAUUUUGUAGCAGAUUUUUAACUGAGGAAGAGGAUCUAAAGAAGAUAGUUGGGAAGAACUGCUCAGAGAUCACACCCGGAAUAGUGAGAUACACCAAGAUUACGUCCCAAGAGUCAGGCAUCUAUAUGAGAUGAGACUUCAGGAAACAAGUGGACAUUUUUUCGUUGUUUACAUUUUCCCUCUGUGUACAUUAUCUGUAAGGUCUACUUACUAAAGGGGAUAGCCCCCUUUGAUUUUGUCAAUUUCUCCUCUUUUUCCUCUCGCAUUGUUGACCAUCAUAAGCCCCAUAGUUAAGAACCCUUUGUAAAAUAUUUGUAAUAUUAGUUAGUGAUGGGGAAAACUUAGUUUCUCAAUUGGAAUAAAAUGGGAAUUGUGAGAUAUAAUUAUUAGUAAUAUCUGGGGGGACCCUGAGAUAUCCCCUUCUUUCUUAGUCCUUUCUCCCUCCUCCAUUUGCAGUUUAAGUUCUCCUUGAAAGUAAGAUUCAUCUGGGUCAAACCAGACCCAAGCUCACAAAGGAGCCUUGGGUAGAGACAGAUCCUUUUGUCUAGAUAGCCCAAGGUGGGUGGCUAGGUGGCGCAGUGGAUAGAGCACUGGCCCUGGAUUCAGGAGGACCUGAGUUCAAAUCCAGCCUCAGACACUUAACACUUAGUAGCUGUGUGACCCUGGGCAAGUCACUUAACCCCAAUUGCCUCACCAAAAAAAACUCAAAAAAACCAGAUAGCCCAAGGAUGUUAUAGAUGAGAUUAACACACACCUAGAUGGAAAGUAUUUUGGAUCAUGGGGUCUUACAUUCUCUAAUGUCAUCCCUGGACUUCAUUUUAAUAUAACCCACCUCCAGUCAUGCCAACCAAUUAGAUUGAAAUGAUGUUGGCCAAUUAGAUUUGAUUGUUAUGUGACAGACCUCCUCCAGUUGGAAGGGUAUAUGAAGCAAUACACAACCCCCAGGAAGGGUCUUUGGGCUGAGAGAGAUGACCAAAUGACCCCCUUUUAUUAAUAUCCUGCUGGCAUAUUAAUAAAAUGAUUAAAUUACCCAGAAACUAUGUCUCUCAUAUUUUUAAUUGUCACAAAGGAAAAUAUCAAGCAGAGUCAUUAUCUUUUUGUUUACCUUAGAAGAACGUGAAGCAGGAUUGACGAAAGUGUUGAGUUACCUAGGAAUGACCUAAAACUUUUCAUUGACAGUGUAGAUGUGAUAGUGAUGUUAGCAAUGUAAAGUUGAUAAUGAUGGGGAUAUAGCUUCUAAUGGUUAUUAUAGUUUUGACAUGAUUCUGAUAGUGGGGAUGUGAGAGUGUUUUUAGUGAGUGUGUGACAAUGAGUGAUGGGGAUGUCAAAAUGAUGAUGGAGAUCUGAAAAUGAAGUGCUGGUGGUGACCAAUGUAGAUGAUAGGAAUGUAAAUUUGAGGGGGCUGGGAAUGUGACAGUGGUGCUACCAUGUAUCUGACAGCAAAGGGAUGGUUAUGGGAUUUUGACAAUGUUGUUCCUGACUUUUUAAAAGUGAAGGUGGUAAGGACGUGGCAAUGUUGGCUCUAAUGUGACAAUCAAGACAUCAGGAAUGUGAGAGCAAUGUUGGUGUUGUGAAAUUGAUGGUGGUGGAGAUGGCCACAGUCAUCAACAAUGACCAAUUUCAGAAGUCUUAUCAAGGUAGCAUCCAAUUAUAACCAUGAAGUCUGAUGGUGAGGUAUACUUCCAACUUCUCAGGAAAAAUAUGGUGGAUUAAUUGUGGAAUUCAUUUUUAGACGUGGUCAAUAUGUUGAUUUUUUGGUACAAGAUAGGGAUUUAGGGCUAAGUGGAAAAAUGUAAUGUACAUCAUAACAACAAUUGCCUUGGAAAACAAGUCAAAAAUUGGUAUUUAAGAAUCAUUAGAUUUCCUAAAAAGUGAUUUUAAAAGACUUGGACUAUAUAGUACAAGAAUUUAUCAAUGAAAAUUGCCCCAAAUCUUUUAGAAGCAGAGGGCAAAUUACAGAUAAAAAAGAUCUACCAAUCACUUCCUUAAAAGAAUCCAAAGAUUAAAAAGUCCCAAGAACCUCAUAGCCAAUCCCAAACUCUCAAGUCAAAGAAAAAAAUAUUGCAAAUAUCCAGAAAGGAAGAGUUUAAGUAUCAACAAACUUAUGUAAGUACAACCAAUGUAAUGUACACGAUAACAACAAUUGCCUUGGAAAACAAAUCAAAAAGAGGUUCAAUGUGAUUUAAGAAUCACAUUUGUAUAUCACAUUCCAAUCAGGAUAACACAAAACCUGGAAGCUUUUACUAAAAACCAGAAGAGAUCAUGGAAUACAACAUAUCAAAGGACAAAAGUUUAUGGUAUUUGAAGAUAAUGGAAUAUUAUUGGGCCACAAGAAAUUAUGAAAAUAGUUUUAGAAAGUAUGAACUGAUGCAAAGUGAAGUUAAAAAAACAGGUGAACAAUUGAUUGUAAAGUUGUGUUGAAGAUGAUAUGAUGAGGAUGAUAGUAUCAAAAAGAGAACCAUGAUACUUUUUUUAAAAAUAGAACAGAACAGAUUCAAAUUCAUUAGGGGACACAGACAGCAGGAUAGUUUUGAGAGCAAUGUCUAGAAUUAAUUUUAUAAUUUUAAACGUAAAGUAAAGAGUAUGAAAUGAAGAUUCCUGGUUACAUAAAAAAUCCUAUUUUAUGUUCUGAUGGUUGUCUGGAAACAUUAUUUUGCGUGUGUUUGAGUUCAGAACAAAAAGUAUCCAAAAAAGAAAGUAAUGGUUAUGAUCUGAAAGUGAUAGUAGUGGUGAUAUAACAAUGAUAGUCUUGAGAUGAUAGUGAUGGUGUGGCUAUGUGCCAUUGAUGAUUGUGGGGCCAUAGAAGUAAUGGUGAAGGAAAUGUAAAAGAGACUAUGUCAAUUGGAGAGUAAUCAUGGUGGCGAUAUGACAAUUCUAAUGGCAUCAUCCUUGUACAACAGGCUCUGAGGGAAAGACCCUAAUUCUAAGGUGGAUUAAUAGAUUGGAACCCAUUUGCAAACGUGGCCAAUGAAUAUAUGUGAUUUGGUUGAACUACACUUAGUUAUUUACUACUUCUCUUUUCUUAUCCACUCACCCAAUCACGCUGCCUGGUCCAGAUCUAAUAAAAAUGGAUGGGAAGUGACUUGGAGAAAAAGGAGAGAGGUGUCCCUCAUGGCUCCAUCUCAGCAAGCCAUCCAUUGCCACAGAGGAGAGAAAAAGAGAAGAGUCAAAAGAAAAAGCAAUUCAGCCAAAGGAACCAAGGCAUCAGCUAAGAUCGAAGAUGUGCACCACAUUCCAAAUCAACAGCCUCCCACCACUUCCAUGAAGAAAAGGAGGGGUAUCCCUCAUGUUUCCCUACUAACCAGUCAAUCAUUGCCAUGAGAAAGGGGGGGAAGGAAGAGUCAAAAGAAAAAACAGUUCGACCAAAGGAAUCAUCAACUGAGUAGAAAGGUCUAUACUACAUUCCACACCAUGAGUCUCCAACUUCUCAAGUGAAGAGAAGGAGAGAGUGUGGACUUAGUAGAUCUGCAAUCAUACAUGUGUGGUAUGCUGGCUUCCGACCCGAGAGGACCUGGUUGUGAGUCCUCCCUGUCAUCCAGAAUGGCCAUGUGAUCCUGGAUAAGGAACCUCCCUCUGCCAGUGCAGGUCCCUUCAAAUCCCUAAGCCUCCGUUUCCCUACAGAAGUACUGAAACUGCUGGGAUUGUAAAGCCACUGAAGGCCCAGUGAGUUUUACCCUGUCAUGAGUGCCAUUUACUUGAGCUGUGAUGCCAACAUCAAGGUGGCCUAAGACUGCUUCUCUUUGAAAGACUCCCAUGGCUGGCUAAAUUGUGGUAAGGCCCCUUUUCAGCCCUCACAGGAAGCUUUUGGAGGAAAGCUGCCCCAGCCUUGCUGACGUUCAGUUGGGCUCACAGAAUCUGCCCAUUUGAGAGAAAAGCCAAAGUACUCGACCAAAGUCGGCCAGAGCAUCCUCCUUCCUGAGAAUGGCCGACCUCAGAUCAAGAGAUCCUGAGCAGUAGGAAAUGAGGCUCCACAUGCCUCUGGCACCAGGAAAAAGACCAGGUCCUCUGCUCCAAGUGGGGAGAGGGACUUGGGCUCCUGUGAGUCACUCAGUGAGCUUUGAGAACAGUUUCUCUACUAUGCAGGUGUUCGUUUUCGAAGAGGAUCAAUAACAUCACAGAGUGAUAUCUUAACUUGGAAGUGAAUGAGAUUUAAGUGAAGCAGAGUUGCCCAAAGUCAUCAGCCUCACUCUCUCUUCCAGAGUCAUUGAAGUCCAGUGGCAAUACAAAAAGCCCAGGAUGCAGUGAAUGACAGUAGCAUCUCUGAAGUCUGAUCAAGCUCUAAACACUUUAUAGAGCCUGUUUCAGCCACCUUCAUGGCCUUUGGAACCCAAGCAUCGUGCAAGUACAGUACUCAGUACUGAGUGUCCACCUCAAGAAAAGUUUGGGGGACCUCAGACUGGGAAUAGAGCUUAGAACAAUGUCUCUGUUCUUAGAAAAGCUGUCAUUUUAGCUUACUCAUCAGAGAAAUAAAACAUGCAAAUUCUUGGACAAAAUGAUUGGGCCAAAAUUUUUUCAGAGGCUCCUUGUUUAAUCUAAAUUAAGAGUGUACUCUGUUGGCUAAUAUGACAAAAAAGGAAAAUAAUAAAUGUUGGAGAAGCUGUGGAAAAAUUGGAAGACUAAUGUAUUGUUGGUGGAGUUGUGAACUGAUCCAACCAUUCUGGAGAGCAGUUUGGAAC